GGAAGACAGAUUUGCGCAUGCCUUUAAUCUUCUAAAGUGACGUGGCUACUCGGUUGGUGUUUGAAACGUUUUUGUUAUUUUUUAAUAAAAAUUUAUGUUAAUUUCUCGUUAACAGUAUCUUAAGAGAGAGCUGUUAUUUAGCUGUUAUACAGUAAAUAUAUAAUAGUGCUAAGUACGCUUUUUGUAUGAAGAUAAUCUAUUAUGACGACAUAUGAAGAUUUUAUUCAACAAAACGAGGAUCGUGAUGGUGUGCGUUUCACAUGGAAUGUAUGGCCUUCAUCACGUAUUGAUGCCACCAGAUUGGUAGUUCCAUUGGGCACUUUGUAUCAACUAAUAAAAGAACGAGUGGAUCUUCCGCCAAUUCAAUAUGAUCCAGUUUUAUGUACGAGAUCCACCUGCAGAGCUAUCUUAAAUCCAUUAUGUCAAGUGGACUAUCGUGCCAAGCUAUGGGUCUGCAAUUUUUGCUUUCAGAGAAAUCCUGUAAGAUAAACAGCUUGUUCUUUUA
rnacentral:lncRNA from 13 species